AACGAACGCUGGCGGCGUGCUUAACACAUGCAAGUCGAACGAGAAGUACGUAGCAAUACGUAUUGUAAAGUGGCGCACGGGUGAGUAACACGUGGGUAAUCUGCCCUCGAGUUUGGGAUAACCCCGCGAAAGCGGGGCUAAUACCGGAUAAGACCACGGGGACCAAAGUCCCUGAGGUAAAAGAUGGCCUCUAUUUAUAAGCUAUCAUUUGAGGAUGAGCCCGCGGCCCAUUAGCUAGUUGGUAGGGUAACGGCCUACCAAGGCGAUGAUGGGUAGCUGGUCUGAGAGGACGAUCAGCCACACUGGAACUGAGACACGGUCCAGACUCCUACGGGAGGCAGCAGUGGGGAAUAUUGCGCAAUGGGCGAAAGCCUGACGCAGCAACGCCGCGUGGGGGAUGAAGGUUUUCGGAUUGUAAACCCCUUUCGAUCGGAACGAAUCUCCUCCUGGUAAAUAAUCAGGAGGAUCGACGGUACCGAGAGAAGAAGCCACGGCUAACUCUGUGCCAGCCGCCGCAGUAACAC
rnacentral:rRNA from 1 species